rnacentral:rRNA from 1 species
ACGCUCGACACCUACGGGGGCAGCAGUGGGGGAUAUUGCACAAUGGAGGAAACUCUGAUGCAGCGACGCCGCGUGAGGGAAGAAGUAUCUCGGUAUGUAAACUUCUAUCAGCAGGGAAGAAAGUGACGGUACCUGACUAAGAAGCCCCGGCUAACUACGUGCCAACAGCCGCGGUAAUCUGAGCGGGCUGGCAAGGC